rnacentral:rRNA from 1 species
UAGGGAAUCUUCUACAAUGGGCGAAAGCCUGAUGGUGCAACGCCGCGUGUGUGAUGAAGGGUUUCGGCUCGUAAAACACUGUUGUAAGAGAAGAAUGACAUUGAGAGUAACUGUUCAAUGUGUGACGGUAUCUUACCAGAAAGGAACGGCUAAAUACGUGCCAC